AUUGAACGCUGGCGGCAGGCCUAACACAUGCAAGUCGAGCGAGCGGCGGACGGGUGAGCAAGGUAUGGGGACUGCCCGACAGAGGGGGAUAACUACUGGAAACGGUGGCUAAUACCGCAUACCGUCUGAUAACCCAUAUGAGGUUGGCUAGUAGGUAGGGUAAUGUUUUACCCAGGCGACGAGCCCUAGCUGGUCUGAGAGGAUGCUCAGCCACAAUGGGACUGGUACACGGCCCAGGCUCCUCCGGAGUCGGCAGGAGGAAAUAUUGCAAACUGGGCGCUAGCCUUAUGCCUCCAUGCCGCGUGUAUGAAGAAGGCCCUAGGGUUGUAAAGUCCUUUCAGUCGGGAGGCGUUACCGUCAGAGGAAGCACCGGCUAACUCCGUGCCAGCAGCCGCGGUAAUAC
rnacentral:rRNA from 1 species